UACGGGGGGGGCAAGCGUUGUUCGGAAUUACUGGGCGUAAAGCGCGCGUAGGCGGUUGCUUAAGUCGGAUGUGAAAGCCCUCGGCUUAACUGAGGAAGUGCAUCCGAAACUGAGCAGCUAGAGUACGAAAGAGGGUCGCGGAAUUCCCGGUGUAGAGGUGAAAUUCGUAGAUAUCGGGAGGAACACCGGUGGCGAAGGCGGCGACCUGGGUCGAGACUGACGCUGAGGCGCGAAAGCGUGGGGAGCAAACAGG
rnacentral:rRNA from 1 species